GCUGCAACAGACAAAUCGCCGAGGCAGGGGAGACGUUCAGGGCAUCAGGAUGCUGAAGCUUGGGGUCCCCAUUCCCAAGCCCAGCCCGAGCGCCGCCUGAGCGUGGCGCAGUUACUUUGGGACAAGCAAGGCACAAUGACUUUGGUGAAUGAAGUAUUUAUGGCACCCUUAUAUGGAUAAGGCCCAGUGUUGCCUAUAUUCUAUAAGGAGAACAGGAAGUCACACCCUGGGCCCUGGCCGCUGGAACUGGAGACCCCAGAAAAUCCCCAUGUAGCAGCCACAGCUGUCAAGCCAGAAGUUAUGAGAUGGCUCACUGAACUUGACUCUGGAAUAAAAUGGGAACUAAUGCAGUUCUGGGUAGAGGCAGCAGAAAUAAAUAGAGAAACUCUUCAAGGUA